rnacentral:rRNA from 1 species
CACGUAGGCACCAAGCGUUAUCCGGAUUUAUUGGGCGUAAAGAGCUCGUAGGCGGUUCGGCAAGUCGGGUGUGAAAACUCUGGGCUCAACCCAGAGAGGCCACCCGAUACUGCUGUGACUAGAGUGCGGUAGGGGAGCGGGGAAUUCCUGGUGUAGCGGUGAAAUGCGCAGAUAUCAGGAGGAACACCCGUGGCUAAGGCGGUUCUCUAGUACGGUACUGACGCUGAGACGCGAAAGCGUGGGGAGCGAACAGG